ACCCUUUAAUGUUUGAUGUUCUAACGUAGACCCGUGAUCCGGGUUGCGGACAGUGUCUGGUGGGUAGUUUGACUGGGGCGGUCUCCUCCCAAAGAGUAACGGAGGAGCACGAAGGUUAGCUAAUCCUGGUCGGACAUCAGGAGGUUAGUGCAAUGGCAUAAGCUAGCUUGACUGCGAGCGUGACGGCGCGAGCAGGUGCGAAAGCAGGUCAUAGUGAUCCGGUGGUUCUGAAUGGAAGGGCCAUCGCUCAACGGAUAAAAGGUACUCCGGGGAUAACAGGCUGAUACCGCCCAAGAGUUCAUAUCGACGGCGGUGUUUGGCACCUCGAUGUCGGCUCAUCACAUCCUGGGGCUGAAGUAGGUCCCAAGGGUAUGGCUGUUCGCCAUUUAAAGUGGUACGCGAGCUGGGUUUAGAACGUCGUGAGACAGUUCGGUCCCUAUCUGCCGUGGGCGCUGGAGAAUUGAGGGGGGCUGCUCCUAGUACGAGAGGACCGGAGUGGACGCAUCACUGGUGUUCGGGUUGUCAUGCCAAUGGCAUUGCCCGGUAGCUAAAUGCGGAAAAGAUAAGUGCUGAAAGCAUCUAAGCACGAAACUUGCCCCGAGAUGAGUUCUCCCUGACUCCUUGAGAGUCCUGAAGGAACGUUGAAGACGACGACGUUGAUAGGUCGGGUGUGUAAGCGUAGCGAUACGUUGAGCUAACCGAUACUAAUGAACCGUGAGGCUUAACCUUACAACGCC
rnacentral:rRNA from 1 species